AUGGCGCGCUGGGCACACGCGGUGCGCUCCCGGCAGCCGGGCGCGUGCGCGGCGGCCCCGCGGAGGAAACGCCACCCGGGGCCGGUCCGAGGCCCGGCGGCGGCAGAGCUGGGCACCCCGCGGGCGCUCGGCACCCGCCCCGACCCCACCCCGCGGCCCCCGCGCCGAGAUGCGCCCCCAGGCCUGGCUCUGACCCAGCGCCCGGGGGGCCCUUCGCCCCGCCCCUCCCCGCCGGUGCAGGAACUGUCCCUUCCCAGCGGCCCCCAGGAGCGCCAGGACCCUGCAGGGGUCGUUGCUCAGGUGGCCUUGGCAGCAGCCGGCCUCCCGGAGAAGGAACCUCCGAGGGACCGCCCUGGGAGGCCAAGGGCCGCCGGGCUGGGGAGAAGAGCUCGCGGCAGCGGCCCUGGCGCCUCGGGAGCGCCCGCCCCCCUUCCCUUCCCAGAACCGGCUUUUCCAGCUCGGCGGCUUCGCCAGGCUUCUGGCGGGUGGGGAUUGUUUUCCCCGGGGGCUUGGGUGGGAAGAGUGAAGACAGGGAAGCUGGCUGCCCACACAGUGCUCUGCCGUCCGCGCCCCCUCCAGAGGCGCCCCAGGGACGCCGCAGCUGAAAUAAACACGGACCCCGGGCGCUGCCUUCGCAGAGGCGCAGACGCUCCACCAUCACGACGUCGGGCCUCCGCGCAAACACCAGGAGAGGCCUCGAACGUCCUGCAAGGGCUGCCGGAGUCCGGGCAGGAACAGCUGCUGUGGGAGAACCCCCGCUGGACUGAAGUGAGCCUGGGGAGCUGCUCCAGGAUGUGCACUUGGACUGAACGCCUGCUCUUCAUUCCCCUGAGUCCUUCGGCCGCAGGGUUUUCUGGGAGGAAUCCCACGGCCAGGAGGGGCCCACUUGACAGGUGCUUCUCUGAAGGAUGGAAAAAUCGAUGCCCGCAGAAGAGCGGGCUCAUGGAAGGUACGGACAGCGCAGUGAGAAGACCCAGGUCCCGGGGGAGGCAGGCGCCCGGGGGCCUGCCGGCCUGGCGCUGGCUGUUCCCCGGCUCCCAGAACAAACUCAGAGGCGGGCGUGGGCAGCCCGGAAGCCAGCGAUGUGGUUUUGUCUUUUAA
rnacentral:lncRNA from 1 species